ACCUGGCUGGCUCAGUUGAUAGAGUGUGUGACUCUCGAUCUUAGGGUUGUGAGUUCAAGCCCCACAUUAGGUG
rnacentral:tRNA from 1 species